GUUUUAGUUCAUUAAUGGACCAAAUUCUGUUCCUGUUCAGCUAACUAAGAAUUUUGUCAUUAGCUUAAAAGGAGCAGGAUUUAGUGUUGUGCAAGCUGUACAAUAAUUCUGGAGGCUUGUGUGUCGCGGGGGUGGGCAGAGGGAGAGGGAGGCUUUUUGCAAGACAAAAAUGUGGUAGCUUUAAAAAUAUCAGGGCAAAAAAUACAGUACUUGACUGUACUUGACUUUACUCUUCAGAUUCUCCAAAGAGGCAGACUGGUUCUUUCAGCAGUCACCCCAAUACAGACAGAUAUACCUUUCUUGUCAUCUUCAGAAGGACCACAACAAGAAUCUGCAGUCCAGGGGACUGACCUGCUCUGAGGAAUGACUGUUCUCUUACUCCUGGACUCCAAGCUCCAGACAAGUGCCAGGAAUGUGUGUACUGGUGGCGUCACAAGACAAAAAGCGAAGGACAAAUGAGUAAGUCACUUUUUUUGAAAAGGUGAUUAAAAUCUGAGCAUGUCGCUUCUUUGCACAGGUCAGCUGACAUGAAUGGAUU
rnacentral:lncRNA from 1 species